rnacentral:rRNA from 1 species
CAGUAGCCGCGGUAAUACGUAGGGUGCGAGCGUUAAUCGGAAUUACUGGGCGUAAAGCGUGCGCAGGCGGUCUUGUAAGACGGGCGUGAAAUCCCCGGGCUCAACCUGGGAAUGGCGCUUGUGACUGCAAAGCUAGAGUGCGGCAGAGGGGGAUGGAAUUCCGCGUGUAGCAGUGAAAUGCGUAGAUAUGCGGAGGAACACCGAUGGCGAAGGCAAUCCCCUGGGCCUGCACUGACGCUCAUGCACGAAAGCGUGGGGAGCAAACAGGAUUAGAUACCCCGGUAGUCCCUGUCUCUUAUAC